UUGGACGGCACUAAAAUUGCGAUGUUGAUCAGAUCAUCGAAAACGACCGCACAGCAAUCCGUCUCCAUUGAAUUCGUAUGUUCAUGUUUGACCGUUUGCUUUGCUCAACUAUGCUUAAAAUAAAUUCUAGACCCUACUUUAUUUCUCGAUCUGUGACUCCCCAUAACACGUGACGCACAAGUCCUAACACAAAAAGUUUUCACCCAUCUUCUAGAAAGGCAUCAGCUAGCGGUAGAUUUGCUAAGACGAGACAAGCAACCAGCUGCCUUGAAUAAUCUUUCUUGGUUUUUUAUUUAUUUUAAAAGAGUUGUGUAUUUAUUCAUUCAAGACUUUUUUUUUGUUUGCAGAAAUCGCUUCUUUACACAAGAUUGUAGGAAUCGGUCCUUACACAAGAUUGCAAGAGCCUUCUUGGGUUAUAAUCUGAAUCAAGUGGAAGCUAGCUUUCGCCAUUGUGCUUCAUAUAAUUAUUCUUAGGAUCUGCAGAAUACAGAGAGGGAGAGAGAUUCCAUGUCAAAGUCCUCCUCUGUUCUCUGGCGCAAGAGAACAAGACGUGUGGAUGAGUAGAUCUACCCAUCUAGUCUCCUAACCACCUAACAUUAAUUUUCUUACGCAAAAAAAAAUUGCACAUGCAAAGGAACCUAAUGCAUGUGCUUAAUAUCAUAUACUAAUCAGAC
rnacentral:lncRNA from 1 species